rnacentral:rRNA from 1 species
CUCUUCGGAUCGUAAAACUCUGUUGUUAGGGAAGAACAAGUGUGUAAGUAACUGUGCGCGUCUUGACGGUACCUAAUCAGAAAGCCACGGCUAACUACGUGCCAGCAGCCGCGGUAAUACGUAGGUGGCAAGCGUUAUCCGGAAUUAUUGGGCGUAAAGCGCGCGUAGGCGGUUUCUUAAGUCUGAUGUGAAAGCCCACGGCUCAACCGUGGAGGGUCAUUGGAAACUGGGAAACUUGAGUGCAGAAGAAGAAAGUGGAAUUCCAUGUGUAGCGGUGGAAUAA